rnacentral:rRNA from 1 species
GGUUAAGCGACUAAGCGUACACGGUGGAUGCCUAGGCAAUCAGAGGCGAUGAAGGACGUGCUAAUCUGCGAUAAGCGUCGGUAAGGUGAUAUGAACCGUUACAACCGACGAUUUCCGAAUGGGGAAACC